UGGGGAAUAUUGGACAAUGGGCGCAAGCCUGAUCCAGCCAUGCCGCGUGUGUGAAGAAGGCCUUUCGGUUGUAAAGCACUUUAAGCGAGGAGGAGGCUACUUGGAUUAAUACUCUAGGAUAGUGGACGUUACUCGCAGAAUAAGCACCGGCUAACUCUGUGCCAGCAGCCGCGGUAAUACAGAGGGUGCGAGCGUUAAUCGGAUUUACUGGGCGUAAAGCGUGCUGAGGCGGCUUCUUAAGUCGGAUGUGAAAUCCCUGAGCUUUACUUAGGAAUUGCAUUCGAUACUGGGGAGCUAGAGUAUGGGAGAGGAUGGUAGAAUUCCAGGUGUAGCGGUGAAAUGCGUAGAGAUCUGGAGGAAUACCGAUGGCGAAGGCAGCCAUCUGGCCUAAUACUGACGCUGAGGUACGAAAUCAUGGGGAGCAAACAGG
rnacentral:rRNA from 1 species